UACUGCCUCUAGCGGUCAAACGUUCGAACUAUUAUAUGUACAUUUCUUUCUUCGCUAUUUCCUUCGUAACAGAAACUUAUGCAAAUCUAAGAAACGAUGAGAGAUGAAAUAUCCGUUCGUACUGUGAAGCUUAGAAUUUUUUGAUCAUCGGAACCACGGUUUAUAUGGCCGUGGUUAGAAUACGUGUGCAAUCGUGAAUCGUCCAAAAUCGUACAAUUGAAUCGUGUUUUUAUUAGUGUCUUUAUAAAAAAAUAUACAGUGAACAAUUACAGGUGCAAGAAAGCGUAGUUCAUUUUUGUGGAUUGUUAAUCCUUGCAGUUUAGGUAGACACGUUGCUUCGGUUCCUUAGUUUUAGUGAUUAAUAUUAAGUUUCUUCUUGUUUCUUACAAUCGAUUGCUAUAACUCAAAAAACAGCAGUAACAAUGCAUAGACACGGUACUUAUGAUAGAUGUAAAUUUGUUCAUUGUAACAACGGAAGGCACAAUGGACACCGUUUGUUUCGAUUUCCAUCUAAACCAGAAAGACAGAAAAAAUGGAUAGAAAAUACAGCUUUCAAUGUGUAGAAUCCGAAAAUGCAAGUUUCAAGACGAGAAAUCCACUGCUUCAAAAGUUAUGAUUGUUUCAAAAGUAAAAACCGAGCAACACUUUAGGGCACUUUACACGUUAUUUUGACGCCAUAUUGUUCCUUUAUACAUGAUUCGUCCAAUGAGUGGAGUCGUUAAUUGUAAAUAAAUGCACGUGGAUGGCGACUAUUUUGUGACGGGAUUUUGAAUCGUGAGUAUUGAAUUCACUUGAAUUAGGUUCGGGCCAAUCUACGCUCUCCGGCUACCGUUUACUGUUUACGCUAGUACAAACGAACUUUCUAUGAAAUUCAGUUCGAUGCUCAUCUGCGCAGACAGGAGGAAAUUGGCGUUAAGGUAAUAUGUAAAAUAAAAAUGUUCAGUUUUACAUAGUCAUACCAUACGUUUGGAACCAAUGGAUUCCUCGCCUUAGAACUUGCACUUUAAGAUUCUACACGCUGAAAACUACAAGAUUGCAAAAAAAUCAAUAACCUUUUUAAUUCCUAAAUUAAGGUUUAACCAAUGUGAUUUGAUGAUUCAACAGAGUGCAAAUCAUUUGUAAUUUGACAACUCCAAUGUUUUUGUUCGGCGGAUCGCAGCUUCUGCUGCUCGGUUUCUAUUAAGGAAAUAGUUGGCUUCGAUUCUUGUCGACCUCCACGAUCAGGACUGCAGGACUUUGCGAUCUUCAUUUCCGAGAGGAAGAUUUUUGCGACGGAACGAAAAAGCGUUUGCUUCGGAAUCGUGAUCCAAUCCAUUGGAAGGAAAUAUCGACGUCCCAUGGGCAGACACAGGCGAUUGUUGAACCGCAAGAAUCGGGGGAUUCCACAGAAGUAGCAGUAGAAGAACAGAACAGAAGAACAGAAGAAGUGCAGAAGCUUCAAGAACAAGUACCAAGUCCAAGAGAAAUCUGUGAUAAAAAUCUUCAAGAAAAUGUUAACUGUGAUAAAAAUCUUCAAGAAAGUAUUAACUGCGAUAAGAAUCUUCAAGAAGAUGUUUACUGUAGUAACCUCGACGAUUUUAGUAUUAGAAAACAGUCAAACCCUAAUUUAUGUCCUUCGGGGAAAGAAUUGUUCCUUAACACUGCUUCGGAUGAUACCGAUUUGUCAUUUUUAAAUUACGAAUUAGAUGCACAAGCGCCUACACCUUGCGAAAAUUUGACAGUUGUUUCGCUUGUAUCAAAAAAAGAUUUUCGAUGCUCCAAAGAAUGUAAAAUAUUGGUUGAUUCCUUAACAAAAAAAAUAAAUCUUUUACAGAUAAAGGUAAAGCGAUUGGAAAAGAGAGCAAAAUGUGUACAAAGUAAAUAUUCAUAUGUACGCAAGCAAUUAGAAAAGCAACUAAGCCAAAAAAUUCGCAAUAUUGAUGAUUUUUUAGUAACGAAUAAACUAGCUAAGAAUGUAGGUCCGACGGCGAAGACUGUAAUUAAGCUACAGUUGCGUACAAAAAAGACUCAAUAUACAGACGACGAGAAAGAGUUAGCGAAACAAAUUUAUUUUCAGUCUCCAACUAACUAUACUAAAUUGCGAAAUGUGGGUUUGAUUUUACCUUCGGAAUCCAUAGUUCGAACAUGGUUCUCUAAGUACGAUGGUUCCGAGAAUGAAUGAAAUGAUCUUUUGAAAAAUUUCUGUUUAUGUAAUUGAGAAGUUUGAUAAAAAAAAAAAAAAAAAAAAAAAAAAAAAAAAAAAAAAAAAAAAAAAAAAAAAAAAAAAAAGGGGCAUGUAUGCCAAAAUCCCAUUUUAAGAAAAUUGAUUUUAAAGUUUUCAUUAUGGUAUUACUUAGUGAAAAGUAAUUGAAUCCAAAUUUUUAAUGGUGUAUUAAUAUAUUCUUAAAACGUUCUGGAAGCAGAAAUAAUAAUUAAAAGAUGAUAUGCGUUUUUAUUAAUAAGCUUCAAGAAAUUGAUUUAUGUGUCCUUUUUCCAUAAAUAGAGUAAAAUUAUUUUUUUGUUUAUUUAUUUAAGUACAAUUUUAUUUACUUAUUCAGUUACAAAUAUUUUUUAUACAGAAAACUUACAUAAAAAAUACAAGCUUAAGAUCAAAAUUAAACAAGAAAUUAAAUUUCUUAAGUAAAUAUUUUUAUACAAGUUGCAUGCGUAACUGUAGUUUACGCUUUUAUUUUCUGACGUCACCUUAUCUAGCUCCAAUAAGUUAUAUAGAGGUAUAUUCAUCAUCUUUUCUUUAAAAUUGUUACACUUCCUCCUCGUUAGUUGACAUGAAUUUAUCUUUAUCAGGUUCGCUCGGUACGAUCUUCGCUACUUGAAGAACGUUCUCAAUCCGUAUUCUGCUGUUCUCAUCCGGAUAUUAGCAUAGACUUCUUGCGUCCUCUCCGCGGUCAAUUCUCGUAGAGCUGGUUCAAUCGUUAAAAGUUCUAAAUAAUCUAUGCGCUUCUUUUAUAGGGAUUUAUUUCAGAAACCAUAGGCUUUUUUUGUCUCCGUUUACUGCAUCCUAACCGAAUCUACAUAGAUGCGUCAGUGUAUAUUGUUACGUUAAAUUUUCCCGAAUCGAUCUUUUUAAUUGAGCUUUUUGCCUUAUUCGGGAUGGCAAAUCCGUUUUCUUUUUUCCGUGCUGUAUCAUAUAUAUAAACUUUAUAUAAACAGCCGAAUCAUUGGUCAAUUUCUUUACGUCACCUACUUUGAUUUUAGAUUAUUUGACAAGCAAGGCUAUAAGGGUUGUGGUACGAGGAGGUAAGUCAAGCUCGAGAAGAAUUCGUCGGGAGACGAUGAAAACAGGAGAAAUUCUUUAUCACCAAUCUGAAGACUAUUCGCCUCAUCGUUCCUAAAUUUCAACAUCGCAUUCCGACUUUCUAAAAACGGCAUUUCUAAGAUUCCUGUCUCAGCAAUGGAAAAUUCAUUAUUAACAAUUUGAAAGUUUACAUCGACAUAAUGAACUUUUUAACGAUGAUUUCGUCACAAGUAAGUAUGAUUCUUGAAUCAAUGCCUGUGAGAUUGUAGUCGAUAUUAGUAUUUACCGUUUUGCUUCGUUAUAUUAAGUUGCGAGCCAGCGUCAAUAAGGAAAUUGGCAAACCUUUCUUGGAAACAAUGAUGAAACAAGUUAAUCAUUUGCAAAGGAUCGACCAAUUCUGGCUUUACAUUACUCGGGAUUGAAUCCUUCAUUAAUUUUAAUGCGAGGUAAAAUUUAAAACAGAGGUAUGACUUUACAGCAUUCUGUUGAGGAACCAUCUUUGAAUGAGGCGACUGACUGUCGAAUUUAGGCGAUUUAACAACAGGAGAGUCCAUUUGCGUUGUCACGAAGAUUGAUUUUUGAGGCUGCGAUACGUCAGUAGAAAAUUCGGGAUUAGCAGUAACAACCAUGGUUGGAUAAGGUAAUUGGUUCUUCAUUUCGGGUAGAUCAACGAUGAAGCUACUUGCUUAUGUUGACAAAAUACUAAAUUCUGAAAAUUGUGAUAUGUCACCGUGAGAUUCGACUCGCAUGGUUUCAAAAAAUAUAUCUUCGACAUCAAAAAAUGAAAUAUUAAAUCUUAAACUACGACUAUUUUUACAUUUCUUAAAACUUAUCGUAUAUCGUAUAUAAACUUACCGUAUUUGCUCAUACAACCUAACAAAUUUGAUUACAAAAUAACUAUGUUUCAUAGAAUACACGAUAGACAGGAGAGAGUUUACAGAUUACAAUCUAAUCAGGUGGUACUUAUUUUAUACGCAAGCUACUUUGGAGUCCAGUUGAGUCCAAUUUUCCAGAUGUUGAUCUCAUUCAGCGCUUGGAUACCAGAUCGUAGGUCGCAGAUCGCAAUAGUCCGCCAAUAAUUGCCAAGAAAUCCAAUCGUUCAAUGUCUCGAUGACUGACCAGGGAAUGGAUCAGGAUACUCGGGUGUAUGUCAUGUGGUAGCCAGGAAAUGUAAUAUGAAUAUGAAUAUUUACAUUCGCUCUAGGGGAAACCGUGCUCUAGGGGAAAUUCAAGAGGAAGAGAUUGCAUCUUCGCAAGAAGCCUCUCACCAGCCGGCAAUAGGGGAAAGCUUCCUCUCGCCAUCGAUCCUCAAGUGUUUCGCCGUCUUUUCGAGAUUCCACGGAUAUUUUGCGUAUCCCAUUACUGUCAGCGAAACCGUUACUGUCGCGGCCUAGUUUGUUAGAAAGUCGAUAUUUUGGAGCGAGUUCGGAUGCCCGUGGAACGCUGUUCCGUUUUGCUCGUGAUGGCUUCGAUAAUAACUCCAAAUGUAAUAUAAAAUCAAUCAACUUACAUUUGAAUUAUUUAAAUAUUUUAAAACAACAACUUGAACAACAACUUAAAUUUUACAAGAACGAAAAUGAAGAGUGUCUGUAGCAAACAUUGUAAGUGCCAGAAAACAGGAAGGGAGGAAAAGAAAACUUAUUCUUUAAUGUAAUUCAAAUUCACGAAAAAGAAAGGUGUGUCUGUAGAGAAGUCUGUAUGUGUCACCUCUUAAUUGUAAAUAAAACUCAAUGUUUCAUUUAUUUAAAUAAAUGGCAUAGACAAAAACCAAAAAACGAUUAACCACCGUUUAUUGGGGCUUAUAUUUUUCUCUAUAGAGGCGACUAUGUGACGCGACAAUGCCCUUUCAUAUGACAACAGAUAUAAAUAUCGAAUUGGCUAGUGACAUAAGCACAGAGAUAUAAAGAUAGAGUACGCGAAUCACAUAUUACCUCGUAAUUGGAUGCAAUUUUAUACUAGUAUUUGUAAUUGUAUACUAGUAUUAAGGAGAUCCUAAUUUGAAGUUACAAAAAUAGCCAUUUAAUUAUGAUAAUUGUAAAAAAUCCAACUUUAGGCACGUUUCAAAUUCUAAGAAAAACGGCUGGCAAUAUUUUCUUGUUGCUUAUUAUGUGCUAUGUUGGUAAUUACUUUAAAAAAUAUCAACUAUUGAGAUAUAGCAUAACAUCCCUGGUCUCUUUUGCAGUUUUGACAUACGCCCACGCAUCGUUGUUCUAACGCAAAGCAACCAAACGACCGUUUUCGUUAAUUAAUUUCAAAUUAAAUAAUUUUUCGGUUUCGAAUCUUUACUAACUUCUAGAAAGUUAGUACACGCUGACUAAGUUGUUUUUUGCAGAUCUUUAAACUGCAUCGUUUAUCGCUGGCUGACUUGUUGUAAAUUAUGCUUAAUUGCAGCAGACGAGUAGUCAUUCAACCAGAUCCAACACUUCAUUCUCGAGUGCGCUCACAAGGAACUAAUAAACACACAAAGGAAGUUCCAAUAACACAAAUUACGGUAAAUAACCAAAAUGUUUCACCAGUACCAAUUGCCAUGGAAACAUUAAUAAAAAAUUUAGUUACAAUGAAAACUAAUACCGAAUUUAAAAG